ACACCGAUGGUGAAGCGGUUAUCAUGCUUGCCUUCCAUGCGGGUUGUACUGACGCUCUGUAAGCAAGCGGCAGGGGUUCGACUCCCCUUUGGUGUA